UUAUGACGUUGGGAAAGUCUCUUUAAAGUGACGUCAACAUUUUUUUUAUUUGCGCGAUUUCGUCAUCACUGAAACAUGUGAACCUGUGUAGCUGUUUUGGACAGUUUUGUAUUUGUGAAACAUCUUUAAUAUGAAAUGACGUGAUAUGGACAAUGAAAUAGAAGAACUGGGGAAUUUAUUGUCCGACAAAUUUGGACGAACUCCAUCGACACUAUCAGUACUUCCGCAUGACGAUGGAAGAGCCAGGUGUGGUCACAAUGCGCACGGGAGUCGGAUGUCCAGAGGUCAAGGUUACUGUGGCUAUGGAUUGCGACCAUAUUUCAUACCAACGACCGCAGAUUGUAGAUGCCAAAGGACUCAGCCGAAAGAGACAAACGUACAAUUUAAGUUGUCAGACCAUAUCUCAGCGAUGCUUACAAGGAUGCUACUUGCCCUUGCCCAGAAACAUAACAACAGUUAUGUUGUCGCAUCUAUGGCAUCUACGGCUAGAGGGUACACACAUCAACAUGUCAAUAUUUACUGGGGAAUGAUAAAUAACGUCAAGCUUAUUCUUCAGUACGUUUUGAAUAUACUUAAAUGUCUGUUUGAAUAUAUUGGUUUAUUUAUAACACAUUUAUAUAACACUGUUUCAUAUAAAAUGAAAUAUGUGUAUUCACUUCUACUUGUUUCUAUAGAAUUCAUGUCAAACGAAGAAUUCUACAUUAAAAAUAAGCUGCAUGAUAAAUAAAUUGUGAACAUGCUAAGAAUAAUUAUUAAAAAAAAUAGAUAAGUGUGAAAUGUAGACAUUAUUAAAGAUUACUCAACUCUUAAUUUUCAGGAAAAGCACUUUUGAGAAAUAAAAAUCUAACAUUUUAACACAAUGAAAGUAUUUUUAUUAUUAUUAUUGGAUAUUGUUGGUUUAUUUAUUGAUUGUGUAAUUGAUAGUGUUUGUUUUGAACAUGAUGUGUGUAUUCCUAUGAAAAACGAAAUGAUAUGUUGUGAAAAUAUAUGAGAUUGGUUUAGAAAAAAAAUAUUUAAACUGUAUGGUUUGCUGGUCGAUGUAAAUAUAAGUGGAUUAUGUUGCUAAGCAACGCAUGUUAUAGUACAGUUUAAUGUUAAUCACAACUAUUUUAGAACAAUAGAUACCUGAUAAUAUAUAUUUAACAAACUAAAUGUGUUCUAAACUUUUAUUUAUUUUCUUUUUUAAUAAGUAUGGAUUUUGAUGAAACAUACAUCUGAAUACGGCUUACUUGAAAACGUUGUUAACGUCAAAACACCUCUGAAGUUAUGAUACUAAAAUAAAAGAUUCUCAGUAAGUUAUGGGGCUUUAUAUUUAAAUUUGGUAUCAUAAUAACAAGCACAGAACAGUCUUUUUCAAUCAAUAGAAAACAAAAAAAUGUUAAGUUUUGUCACAAAUACAGAUUUUUCACGA